rnacentral:rRNA from 1 species
GUAGGUGGCAAGCGUUGUCCGGAAUUAUUGGGCGUAAAGCGCGCGCAGGCGGUUCUUUAAGUCUGAUGUGAAAGCCCACGGCUUAACCGUGGAGGGUCAUUGGAAACUGGAGAACUUGAGUACAGAAGAGGAAAGCGGAAUUCCACGUGUAGCGGUGAAAUGCGUAGAGAUGUGGAGGAACACCAGUGGCGAAGGCGGCUCUCUGGUCUGUAACUGACGCUGAGGCGCGAAAGCGUGGGGGAGCAAACAGGAUUAGAUACCCUGGUAGUCCACGCCGUAAACGAUGAGUGCUAAGUGUUAGGGGGUUUCCGCCCCUUAGUGCUGCAGCUAACGCAUUAAGCACUCCGCCUGGGAGUACGGCCGCAAGGCUG